rnacentral:lncRNA from 1 species
UAAGCUUGUGAUAACAAACCAAUCACCUCCUAAUCCCUCUUACUCUACCAUCAACCUUAAUUUCCUUAAUACAAUUCCUCCUCCUACUUCCAUCAACCACCUAUCAAAAGAAUCUAGUACUGACAUGUCCUUCCUGAACCAACUACGAGUUUCUAAAGCAGAAAAACAUUAAGAAAAAAGGGUUUUUAGAUUACACUCUUAACAAGAGAAGUGUAAGGAAUCUGCUUUCGCCCAACAAAAGCACUCGGGUUGUGAGAGAUAAUCUCAUUGAGCUCCUUAGUCAACCCAAGAAAAAGAACUUUUUAGCAAUCUUAUAAAAGCUCGUGAUUAGACUGACAAGUAUUUAAUCAGAAAUCUGUGAGAAACAGUCUUCUCAAGGGACCACUGUAUAAAUUCCAGUUUAUGCUAUUACCAAGUUACUACUAAGGCGAAAUUCCUUAAGAACCUUGACCAGAUCCCCCUUAAUCACUUCCAAACUGCACUUCAAGAAAGUGAUGAAAAAUGAUCAAGUCCAAGAAGUCUCCACUUAAAGUUUAUUCAUAAACUUAAGACUGCCCCAACCAUUCAGAGACUCUCUAGCCACCUGCUCUUUGAUGUUCUUAUUGAAAGCAGCAUGAAUCAACCAUAUAUUUUGAAAAUAAAAUGUAGGAUCCUAUCUCGU